UUUCCGUAGGUGAACCUGCGGAAGGAUCAUUACAGAGUUCAUGCCCUCACGGGUAGAUCUCCCUCCCUUGAAUAUUUAUACCUUAGUUGCUUUGGCAGGCCGUGGAAACACCAUGGGCUCCGGCUUAUGCGUGCCUGCCAGAGGAAACAAACUCUGUUUUUAGUGAUGUCUGAGUACUAUAUAAUAGUUAAAACUUUCAACAACGGAUCUCUUGGUUCUG
rnacentral:misc_RNA from 1 species